GAUGAACGCUGGCGGCGUGCCUAAUACAUGUAAGUCGAGCGAACGGACGAGAAGCUUGCUUCUCUGAUGUUAGCGGCGGACGGGUGAGUAACACGUGGAUAACCUACCUAUAAGACUGGGAUAACUUCGGGAAACCGGAGCUAAUACCGGAUGAUAUUUUGAACCGCAUGGUUCAAAAGUGAAAGACGGUCUUGCUGUCACUUAUAGAUGGAUCCGCGCUGCAUUAGCUAGUUGGUAAGGUAACGGCUUACCAAGGCAACGAUGCAUAGCCGACCUGAGAGGGUGAUCGGCCACACUGGAACUGAGACACGGUCCAGACUCCUACGGGAGGCAGCAGUAGGGAAUCUUCCGCAAUGGGCGAAAGCCUGACGGAGCAACGCCGCGUGAGUGAUGAAGGUCUUCGGAUCGUAAAACUCUGUUAUUAGGGAAGAACAUAUGUGUAAGUAACUGUGCACAUCUUGACGGUACCUAAUCAGAAAGCCACGGCUAACUACGAG
rnacentral:rRNA from 1 species